rnacentral:rRNA from 1 species
UACGUAGGGUGCGAGCGUUGCCCGGAUUUAUUGGGCGUAAAGAGCUCGUAGGCGGCUUGUCGCGUCGAAUGUGAAAACUCGGGGCUCAACUCCGAGCUUGCAUUCGAUACGGGCAGGCUAGAGUUCGGCAGGGGAGACUGGAAUUCCUGGUGUAGCGGUGAAAUGCGCAGAUAUCAGGAGGAACACCGGUGGCGAAGGCGGGUCUCUGGGCCGAUACUGACACUGAGGAGCGAAAGCGUGGGGAGCGAACAGG